ACUAUUCAUUAAGUGAAAGUGGGUCAUCGUAAAGAUCUUCAUCCUUUUCAUCUUCACAUUGAGUAGGCUGAAGAGGAGGGAUUGGUCUUGCUGUCCAGAGGUGCCAAAGCAGAAGACAAUCCAUGUAUAAGGGGAUGGGGCAGUUCAAACCCAUGUUAUUUGAGGGUCAGCUGUCAUUUAAAUUUAAAUAUAAAACUGGUAUGUGUUUUAAAUUCAGUUAUUGGAAAACUCUUGAAUAUGUUGGAACAACUGGAGUAUGUAAAUCUACCUUUCCAACUGUAAAUUCACUUUUUCAACUGCAAAUUUUCUAAAUACAAAGCAAGUAUUUCCAAUGAAAAUCUAAAGCCCAAAUUGAUAUCUGCUAUACUGGAUUUAUUUUUUUUUUCUUUUUCUUUUUUUCUUUUUUUAGAGACAAGGUCAUACUAUGUUGCGCAGGCUGGUCUCGAACUCCUAGCCUUGAUCCUCCUGCUUCAGCUUCCCAAAGUGCUGGGAUUACAAGCAUGAGCCACUGUGCCCAGCUGUAUACUGGAUAUCUGAGACUUGGUACCAAAAAAAAAAAUAAUUAAGAAAAGACAGGGUCUUGCUUCGUCACCCAGGCUGAAGUGCAGUGGCACAACCAUGGCUCACUGCAGCUUCAAACUCCUGGGCUCAAGUGAUCCUUCCAACUCAACCUCCUAAGUAGCUGGGACUACAGGUGAAAUUGACCACAAAUCAAUCACUACCAUUGAUGAAGAUUGAUUCAAGAAUGGUCGUAUAAUCCAGUAAGAACUGAUGAAUGCCUGAGAGCCAAUAAAUAAAGACUUCUGGAAAAGAGAGGCAUUCAUUCUUGCCUUUGAGCUUUGCAAGGUGGUAAAGCUUGGUAAUAGUCGCCAUAUAGCUAACUUGAGUGGAGCCAUCAAGGUAACCAAGGCUGUCAGACACCCCCAGAGAGAAUCAUUCACAUGUGCAAAGGAUGAACUCAACACCCAGAAGAAGCAUCCUAGUGACAUUGGGCAGCUCUGAUUCAAGAGGAACCUGAAACUACUCACAGAAUUCAUUGAAAUUGAGCCAAUAAAUUCAUUCAUUUCUUAGGGCGGCUUCAGUUUUCUGUCAUUUGCAGCAUAAAGAUCUGGUGUAAUAAAAGUCUAGGAGGAAAUAAAAGAUUUCUUUCCUAUUCUCAA